UGAACGCUGGCGGCGUGCUUAACACAUGCAAGUCGAACGAGAAAGCUCUCUUCGGAGAGUGAGUAGAGUGGCGCACGGGUGAGUAAUACGUAGAUAAUCUACCCUUGAAUUUGGGAUAACAUCGCGAAAGUGGUGCUAAUACCGGAUAAUGUUUAUAAGACCUCGGUUUUAUAAAUCAAAGAUGGCCAAUUCUUGAAAGCUAUUGUUUGGGGAUGAGUCUACGCACCAUUAGCUAGUUGGUGGGGUAAAAGCCUACCAAGGCGACGAUGGUUAGCUGGUCUGAGAGGAUGAUCAGCCACACUGGAACUGACACACGGUCCAGACUCCUACGGGAGGCAGCAGUGAGGAAUUUUGCGCAAUGGGGGAAACCCUGACGCAGCAACGCCGCGUGAGUGAUGAAGGCUCUUGGGUCGUAAAACUCUGUCAGUAGGGAAGAAGUUGAAUAUGGUUAAUAUCCAUGUUUAUUGACGGUACCUACAAAGGAAGCACCGGCUAACUCC
rnacentral:rRNA from 1 species